rnacentral:rRNA from 1 species
UACGGAGGAUCCAAGCGUUAUCCGGAUUUAUUGGGUUUAAAGGGUGCGUAGGCGGGAUAAUAAGUCAGUGGUGAAAGCCUGCAGCUUAACUGUAGAAUUGCCAUUGAUACUGUUAACCUUGAGUACAUUUGAUGUGGGCGGAAUGUGUCGUGUAGCGGUGAAAUGCUUAGAUAUGACACAGAACACCAAUUGCGAAGGCAGCUCACAAAACUGUUACUGACGCUGAGGCACGAAAGCGUGGGGAUCAAACAGG